rnacentral:rRNA from 1 species
AUUGAACGCGGCGGCAUGCUUUACACAUGCAAGUCGGACGGCAGCACAGAGAAGCUUGCUUCUUGGGUGGCGAGUGGCGAACGGGUGAGUAACAUAUCGGAACGUACCGAGUAAUGGGGGAUAACUAAUCGAAAGAUUAGCUAAUACCGCAUAUUCUCUGAGGAGGAAAGCAGGGGACCUUCGGGCCUUGCGUUAUUCGAGCGGCCGAUAUCUGAUUAGCUAGUUGGUGGGGUAAAGGCCUACCAAGGCGACGAUCAGUAGCGGGUCUGAGAGGAUGAUCCGCCACACUGGGACUGAGACACGGCCCAGACUCCUACGGGAGGCAGCAGUGGGGAAUUUUGGACAAUGGGCGCAAGCCUGAUCCAGCCAUGCCGCGUGUCUGAAGAAGGCCUUCGGGUUGUAAAGGACUUUUGUCAGGGAAGAAAAGGCUGUUGCUAAUAUCGACAGCUGAUGACGGUACCUGAAGAAUAAGCACCGGCUAACUACGUGCCAGCAGCCGCGGUAAUACGUAGGGUGCGAGCGUUAAUCGGAAUUACUGGGCGUAAAGCGAGCGCAGACGGUUACUUAAGCAGGAUGUGAAAUCCCCGGGCUCAACCUGGGAACUGCGUUCUGAACUGGGUGACUAGAGUGUGUCAGAGGGAGGUAGAAUUCCACGUGUAGCAGUGAAAUGCGUAGAGAUGUGGAGGAAUACCGAUGGCGAAGGCAGCCUCCUGGGAUAACACUGACGUUCAUGCUCGAAAGCGUGGGUAGCAAACAGG